CCUACGGGAGGCAGCAGUGAGGAAUAUUGGUCAAUGGACGAGAGUCUGAACCAGCCAAGUAGCGUGAAGGAUGACUGCCCUAUGGGUUGUAAACUUCUUUUAUAAAGGAAUAAAACGAGGCACGUGUGCCUUUUUGCAUGUACUUUAUGAAUAAGGAUCGGCUAACUCCGUGCCAGCAGCCGCGGUAAUACGGCGGAUCCGAGCGUUAUCCGGAUGUAUUGGGUUUAAAGGGAGCGUAGAUGGGUUGUUAAGUCAGUUGUGAAAGUUUGCGGCUCAACCGUAAAAUUGCAAUUGAUACUGGCAGUCUUGAGUACAGUUGAGGUAAGCGGAAUUCGUGGUGUAGCGGUGAAAUGCUUAGAUAUCACGAAGAACCCCGAUUGCGAAGGCAGCUUACUAAACUGUGACUGACAUUGAUGCUCGAAAGUGUGGGUAUCAAACAGGAUUAGAUACCCGGGUAGUC
rnacentral:rRNA from 1 species